CUUUGCGUUUGUAGGGUCCAUUCUGUUUGUCCUUAGCCGUGCACUCUAGCUAGCUAGGAAGUUUGAUGUCAUCAAAUUUCACAUGAUGUAUAGCGACGUCCAAACAUCAAAACAUUGCUAGCAAAUUGUAAAAAAAAAAUGGAUAGUAACAAUAUAAUUCCAUUAAAUAACGACAGUAGACGCUGUAUUUUCUUUAAUACAGAUUCUGACGACUAUCGAUGUGUGGUGAUUCUCACAGUGAAGCGAGCCACAGGCACCUUCUCACUGAUAGGAUGCUUUUUCAUGCUGUUUGUAAUCUGGCUUCUCCGCCGGUAUCACUCCUUGGCCCAGGGUGAUACCCAUCCAGAGGGGAGUCUGUGUAACUUCCAGGCCUGGUGGCUCACUUAUUUUGACUGGAGUGCCUUGGCCUGGGUGUCCUGAAUUAUUCUGAACC
ensembl:lncRNA